UUACCACUCGAGAAGGUGCGUAUUUUGUUCCUUUUUUGAAGACCCAAACGGACCGAAAUAAUACGGUGUUAAUAUGUCAUCGGCUUUUUUGUACCAUCGACGGCCGCAAGUGACAAUGUGCUUCGGUUUAUUUAGAGUUGGUGCCAAUCAGUGAAUUGCCUAUAGUUUGGUUGAAAAUAAAAAUAAAUGAAAAUUUUCCCACCGAAGUCAGGGCAGCAAGUGCGAAAACGUAUCGACGAUUUCGAGGAAAAUGAUCCUUCGUUCCUGAUGGUGGGCAACGGAAGAAAGUAAUUGUGAGAUUUGAGCUAACGAACGGCCGUUUUGUCGGUUUGAGAUGUGUGAGAAGGUGCAAUAAAACACAGAAGAAACAACAAAGGGGCGAAGGAAAAGUGCAAAUUGAGAUCCUGGAAAAAAUUGGAAGGUUUGGUGAAGUGUGGUGAAGCAGAUCCACAAGUGCCAAAGGUAACACGUGAAGAGUUCGAAAAUGCAGUUACAUUGAGUGGCAACACCGACAGUGUCAGAUCAGUUCACAACUUUUGGAUGCUGCUCCAGUCCUUCGUAUGCCGAUCAAUAGUAUUCGCUAUCUGUGACCCUCGGAUGUAAUAAAACGACGGCAGUUAAGAUCGUCGUUGUGUCCUGCCGUUGUUGUGCGAAUCAUUUUUUUUUCUUGUUGGUUGGUGGUGUGCACUUCGUAGGCAAAAUACCACAGCCGUCAUCAACAGUAUAGUACCAGCCGAGUGAGUGGAGCCAAACAGCGCAGAAAACUGGUCAUGAGUUCGAUAUGCUAAUCACUGGCUGGUGGUCGUUGUUCGACAAUGCUUGAUCUACUGGGGUUGUCGGCAUCACGUCUUUCUCGUGGACCGUGGUAGGGUACGAUACUCUAUAGGGGUUAGACGAAAACGUUGGGAUAGUUUCCUCAGCAAACGACCGAUGGGGAAGUAGAUUUGUGUUCAAAAGCGGAACCCCAGAACGUGUGCCGCCAUCAGCAACGACUUCGUCGGAUAAAAGGCAAUAGCUUUCGCAUAAAUCAUGAUAAUGUGAAAACAAAAGAAUACCAAGUUCGAAAAGUGUGUACAGAAAUCAAAGUUUAUCACUCCAGUGAGGGAAAACGGAAGAAACGGAGAGUUGUUAAGAGUAUAUCAAUGUGGACGGUGGAAGUCAGUGCUGCUAAGAUAUAACCGUUCAUAAGGGCCUAAUAGCCAGGAAGUUCGAUAAGGGAAUUUUGCAAAACGAAAAUGUGGUCAAUUAGUGGCCUUUUGAUGGCCUUUUUGGGCGCGUGCUGCCUCUUGGCGGCCUCAGCCAAUGCAAAACUGGGCCGAGAUGAUGUGGAUAUCGAAGAGAUGCUACGGGAUGACCCGUUCAGUAAUCAGCGAGACGAAGAUUUCGGAUCCGGCGAGAUACGGAUUGCACAGCCGAUGCGACAUCGGAAUGGACGGAUGCGGAUUGGACAGCUUCGGCGAGGUGGACAUCGAACGCGACACUCGAAACACGACCUGAAGCUACUGUCCGGUCUCACAUCGUCCUCUGCCGUGGAUUACGACCACGGUUUCCAAAAACCAACUGGACUGUGGCCAUCAUUCUUCAACGUCGCAAUGCGGGCGACAAUUUCGGUGAACGCAACCUGUGGUCAACACGGCAAGGAAGAGUACUGUCGCCUGCAGGACCCACACCGAUCGCGAUCAUCGCAGUGUGGCAUAUGCGAUGGCAACAAUCCCGAUCUGGAGAAACGACAUCCCAUUACGAAUAUUGUCGACGGGACGAAUAGCUGGUGGCAGAGUCCAACGAUGCACAAGUCGAGCAAGAAUGAUCGCGUAACCAUUUCUCUCGAUUUGGGACAGAUCUACCAAGUGGUGUUUUUCACGAUGCGUGCCGCUAUCUCACCUCUGCCGGCGGCGUGGGCUUUGGAAAAAUCUACAGACGGCAAGGUUUACAGCGCAUGGCAAUACUUUGCGGCAGACGACGACGAGUGUCGGGAGCGUUUCGGUCUGGCAGCUCACAGUGCCAACUACAUCUUCAAGAACGACUCCGAAGUGAUAUGCUCGACGCAAUUUUCCUCCAUAGACCCGCUCGAGAGUGGUGAAAUCAACCUUUCGCUCAUCACCGGUCGACCAAGUGAGAAAACGACUUCACAAGAGCUGCUCAAUUUCACCUUGGCUCGCUACAUUCGGAUUCGCCUGCUGCGUAUGCAUACCGCGGUGUUUCGAGAUGGCGUCAGUGCCGACAGUGGAGUGGACAUUCAGGCGCAGGCGAAACGAAGCUUCUACACCAUUCGUUCGCUGCGGAUCGGUGGGCGGUGUUUCUGCUCCGGACAUGCUGCAAAGUGCAAAGCCAACGAUAAUAACAUAGACAAUCUGCCGCGGUGCGAAUGCAUGCACAACACUUGCGGGACCCACUGCGAUCGGUGCUGUCCGUUGUACAACCAGAGACCCUACCGAGUUGGAACGCCGUUUCAGGCUAACAAGUGUGAAAAGUGUGAGUGUAAUGGACAUGCCAAGGAAUGUUAUUACGAUCGGGAUGUGGACGAGAAGGGACUUAGCGUGAAUGUACGCGGGAAGCUCAGUGGCGGUGGUGUCUGUAUGAAUUGCACCAAAUUCACUACUGGCAUCAACUGCGAAAAGUGCAUUCCUUUUUAUUACCGGCCCGCGGAGAGAAUGCCAAACGCAGAAGAACCAUGUGUGCCGUGUAGUUGCAGUGCAAAAGGAUCUACUGGUGAAUGUAAUCCGAUUGGUGGCGAAUGCGUUUGUAAGGAAGGAUUCACGGGUUCCAGAUGUAUGGAGUGUGCUCCCGGUUAUCAUGGAGAAAACUGUACGAAAUGCCUAUGUGACAUAAAAGGAACAAUGCCUGGAGGUGAAUGCGAGUCACAUUGUCAGUGCAAGUUGCACGUGGAAGGAGAACGGUGUGGUCGAUGCGUAUCAGGAUACUUUUCACUGAGAGCCGAUAAUCCUGAAGGUUGUUCGAAAUGCUUUUGCUCAGGAAUAGGACAAACUUGCUCGAGUGCAGAUGUGAACAGUUCUAGCUAUGGUACAUUGGAAGGCUGGAGUGUUACGGAUUUGGCAAGGUCAAGAAUGGUUUAUCCCACGAGAGACAACGAAACGGGAUUCAUGGUUAUUGGAAUGUUUGAGUUGUCAGAAACUGAAGCCGUGUAUUGGUCCACCCCUAAGGGGUAUUUGGGGAACCGAUUGCAAAGUUAUGGAAAUAAGUUUGUUUUCAAAACGUCUUGGGUGAUAGUUCGUGGCGAUACAAGUGGCAAGCCAACCACCGGUCCAAGUAUCGUUCUUUGUGGAAGAAACGGAAUGAAAAUUGCAUACGGAGAUGAAACAUUUACUGGACCUUCAAACGCAACUUUGGAGAUAGUUCUAAAAGAAGACAAUUGGUAUCAUGUGCCGAAAAGUGUAAGAGACAUAGUUACACGACUGAAAAGAACUGAAUAUCACGGUGAUCCAGUGACAAGGGCACAAUUCCUAUCAGUUCUUAUGGACGUCGAAAGUAUCUUGCUGAGAGGAACCUUCCACACCGAUCAGGUGGAAAGCGUUUUGGAAGCUGCCACCUUACAUGAAGGAAGCACAGAAACCGAAGUUUCCGUUAGUGAAAGUUUAGUGGAAAAGUGUGAUUGCCCUCCGGGCUAUACCGGCCUGUCAUGUGAACAAUGCGCAUUUGGACAUGUGAGAAUCUAUGAAAACACAAUCACCCACGAAAAUGUGGCAAAGUGCAUCCCUUGUACGAUGUGCAAUGGACACGCGGAAAGUUGCGAUCUGGAAACGGGUGAAUGCGGAUUGUGUCAUCAUAAUACAUUCGGUGACACCUGUGAACGAUGUUUGCCGGGGUAUUUUGGCAAUGCUUUGCUUGGCAAUCCGAACGACUGUAAGAAGUGCGCAUGUCCGUUGGAGGCGGAAACCAACAACUUUUCGCCGAGUUGCCUGCUCAAAGGAGGAACUGAAUUACUAAACAAUACGGAAUACAUCUGUACGCAAUGCCCCGAAGGUUACACAGGUGAUCAUUGUGAAAUAUGUGACGACGGUUAUUACGGAAAUCCGAUGGAAGUGGGUGGUAAAUGUCUCCCUUGUCCUUGUCACGGUGGUCCAUGUAACGCAAGGACUGGGGAGUGCAUCGAGUGCUUGGGUAACACGGAGGGAUGGCGUUGUGAGCGCUGUAAAAGUGGCUACUGGGGGCUUCCCGACGAGGGAUGCGAACCAUGCAGUUGUUCAGAAAUUGGUGCUUUGGAGAAUGUCUGCGAUGUCAUUACGGGACAGUGCAUCUGCAAAGCUCGCUACGGUGGACGAAGGUGUGACGAGUGUGAUAGUGGCUACGGGAAUCUGGACCUUGAUUGUCCGGCUUGCGAGUGUCAUGCGAAUGGGUCGGCAAAUGGGGUUUGCCAUAAGCUCAGUGGUCAGUGUGUGUGCAAGUUGGGCGUCGAAGGUAUCAAGUGCGACCAGUGCCAGGAGGAGUUCUUUGGCCUUUCGGAGGAGUUCCCGGACGGUUGCGAAGGAUGUCGUUGCCACGUGGAAGGAUCGGCAAACCGGUUGUGCCACCGGCAAAGUGGACAGUGUGUCUGCAAGCCCAACGUCAUGGGUCGUCAGUGCAACAAGUGCAUGGUCGGCUACUGGAAUGUGCAGUCCGGAGUGGGGUGCAUUCCGUGCUCGUGCGAUCCCAACGGGAGCGGCAAACUCGAGUGUGAUACGAACAGCGGCCAGUGCUUCUGUAAGGACGGUGUCGAAGGCGUCAAGUGCGACCGCUGCCAGCAGGGCUACUACGGGUUCUCUAGUCAAGGGUGUAAGAGGUGUGAGCAAUGUGCGAGUGCAGCGUACGUGUGUGAUCCGGACACCGGCCGAUGUGUGUGCCCACCGAACAGUCACGGCCACGAGUGUCGUAUCUGCGCUGUUAACACCUGGGGUAACGUGUUCCAGAGGGGAUGCCGGCACUGUGAGUGCGAUAUUGCAGGCUCUAUUGGGCAGACAUGCAACAGCGGUACCGGACAGUGUAACUGCAAGGAAGGCUACACGGGAAGGCAGUGCAACGAAUGUUCCAUCGGUUACUACGGUUAUCCGAACUGUCGCCGGUGUGACUGUGAUGAGCGGGGAUCGAUUCCUAAUUCUGACGGUAGUUUGGACUGUGAUGAACACGGCCAGUGUCAUUGUAAAGCGAUGACCUUUGGACGCCAGUGCGAUCAGUGUAAAUCGGCUACCUUCGGUUUGGCCUCGGUGAACCCCGACGGAUGCACGAGAUGCUUCUGCUUUGGUAGAUCUCAGGAUUGUGAACAGAGUGAGCUUUCAUGGGGACAGAUUCGCUUACAAGGCUCGCGGAAUCUGAGCGUUGAGUAUGUAGUGAAAGAUGUGGAUGAGUAUGAUUUUGAUUACGUUGUAGUAAUCCAACUGGAGGGCACCAGAACUAACAGAGAGCUGUCUGAGGUUAAAACCAUGAACAACUUAGACUUGAUCCCCAGCUCAACGGGAAAUGUUUCGAUUGGAGCUUACAGCGCGUUUCAAUAUCCAUUGUACUUUCAACUUCCAUCACAGUUUCUUGGCGAUCGCACCACAAGCUAUGGAGGGUUGCUGAACUUUACUUUGGUUACGGUAGGGGCGUAUCAAAAUAUACCGGAAGGAUCGCUGCGACAAUUUCCCUUGGUUCAGCUACACACACAUGACGAACUAGUUUUGGAUUAUUAUGAAGAUCAGAUAGUGUACGGAGAGGAAGUAAUUCAGCAUUCGACAUUACUGCACGAAAGGUUCUGGAAAAAUCAUUACGAUGGAAAUGUAAUCACUCGAGCAAUUCUGAUGGUUGCACUACAAGACGUAAGACAUAUUUUCGUUCGAGGCACCAUCAGCACAAACUUCCGUCAAGUUUUAUUGACGAAUGUUACCUUGGACAUGGGAAUCUUCGUAGCCGGCGCAGAAAACAAUCAUGCUUUCGGAAUUGAACGAUGCAUUUGCCCUGCUCAAUACAGUGGAUUAUCGUGUCAAAACCCAGGACCUGGUUACUAUCGAUUUAAGCCGCAGAUUCCGAAUAAGCUACCCGAGACGAUUGAUGAUUACGUCGGGAAGAGUCUUCCAUGCGACUGCAGUGGUCGCAGUAACGAGUGUCAUCCUGAAACUGGAGUGUGUCUGAACUGUCGAAACAAUACCGGUGGAGAUCACUGUGAAGUAUGCGCCGAUGGAUUCUAUGGCACUCCGAGUCAUGGAUCUUGCCAUGCAUGUCCCUGUCCGGAAACGAGGAAGAACUUCGCAAAAGGUUGUAUCGUUCGAGGUGACAAAGUGAGCUGUAUUUGUAAACCAGGCUACACUGGACGGCUAUGCGAGGCCUGUGAAAAGGGUUACUUUGGAUUCCCACAUCUGGAAGAUGGUCGAUGCGAGUCUUGUGGGUGCAAUCGUGAGGGUAGCAUAUCAGAUGAAUGUGAUUCCUGGACUGGACAGUGCCGUUGUAAACCGGGCAUCACCGGGAUGAAAUGCGAUCGUUGUGAGCAACCGAAAAACAUUGUGCAGAACUACAAGUGCAAACCAUGUGAUAAUUGUACUGUAACUCUAAUUGAUGAUUUUACUUAUCUCACUGAUCAUUUGGAUCGAGAGACGGCUCACAUCGACAAGAACGGAAUUCCAGCUCCUUGGAUCGAUUUGGAGCACUUUGAACAAGAAUCUGAAACGCUGGGAGCUUCAGUAGGAAUGCUGUUGGAUGUCAAAGAUCGAGUGGUCAAUUUCGAUCAAUCCAUAUUGGAUAGCAUGAAACGCAAUGCAACCCGAUUGAACAAACAUCACACCAAACUUGCCAAUCGAUUGGACGAAUUCCGGGAUAUUUCAGUGAUCAAAACAAUGGAACGCUCUGCCGCACUGGCAAACGAUGUAAACGAAAUGAAAAACGAAAUUGAAGACACGAUUCGGAUUCUGAACAACUAUGGAACCAGUGACAGCCACAUCAAACUACCAGCAGCAUUGAAGGAAGCAACCGAUCUUCUGGAAGAUAUCAAACAGAAAUACGCACAGAGCAAACGACGUCCGGAGAUUCUGGAAUGGGCGCAACAACAAUAUGAUUUGUUGGGGAACAAAUCGGAAAUCUUACUACGGCAGAAUAAAAGACUGGAUGACUACAUGUAUGAGGUUGGAGUGUUCAACGAUCGGAUGCAACACUUUGAGAGGUUGAACAAGGAGGUCUUCAAUAAUGCAACGUUGACCGAGACGUUUUCCAGCAAAAACAGAAGAAAGAUGGCUGAAGUGGAGCGAAGUUUUCAGCAGGCCGAUGAAAUGGUUGAUGAAGUGGAUGGGUUCUUGGAUGAAGAUAUAAUGGCGGAAAGUGUAGUGAAACAUGAGCAGAUCAAGGACAAUCACCAACAGUUACAGCAAAACAAGGAAAACUUGAAAUAUUUAAACGACGCUUUAGAGCAAACGAUUAUUGAGUUUGAUCAGAAAUUCGAAAGUCUUACGGGGAAUGAGAUACCCGUGGCAAAGGAACAUGCAAAUCGAUUGAAAAAAGAAUCGGACGAAUUCCAGCAGUUGUUUAAGGAUACGGAGAAAGGAGCUGCGAAUGCAAUGAAAGCCAGUAUGGCUUAUGAGAAUAUCGUUGCCGCUAUUGUUUCUGCACAGGAAUCCGCAGACAACGCAACCGACAGUGGUAGAGUAGCGAACAACAAGGUUUAUCCGCUGGGAGGUGUUUCAUUGGUAGAGCGUAGCGAACAUGCGGCAAAUGUUUCGUCCAAUAUUGAAAAGAAAGCACAUAAAGAACUAGAAAAGGCAAACGAAUUGAACGAAGUGAUGGUGUCAAAGGAGAAGCAAGUCGAAAGCCUGCAAUACAAAAUGCGACUGGCGGGAGUGGAAAACAACAAGAUUGUAGAGGAAGAAGGGUUGAUCACAAGAGGCGAUGCGAUGAAGAAGUUACAGGGAACAUUGGACCAGGCAAACAUUGUCUCAGAUCAGAUGAAAUUUGUACGCGAAGAAGCUGGUGUGUUAAACAGUGAUGUGUACAAGUUGAAAUUGAAGCUAGCUAAGUUGGAACCGGAAUGGGACACAAAGUUUGGAAUGGCAGAGGAAAACGUUUCACAGUCGUUGAGUAACAUUUUGAAAGCCAAAAAGGAACUAAGUAGAGUAGAGAAGUUGGACAAAAUCCAAAGUGAGAAAUUUAGAACAUGGAAUGCGUCUUUUUCGGCUCAACUUCAAGAGUUGAAGGAUAAGAUUGCCCGGGCUAAGCAUGCAGCAGAAGGGAUCCGUGUAUCCCUCGAGUCUCAAAGUGAUUGCGUGCGAUCAUACGCUCCGGUAUCGUAUGGCCCAUCUACCACUAAUCGCAUCAUGAUGUCUGUGGCCUUAAACUCUGACAUCAACGAUUCACCACUGAUCUACAUGCAAGGAGAGAAUCAUCGAUUUGUUGCGCUUGAAAUGCACAAAAGAAGAAUACGUUUGGUUUGGAAUCUUGGAGAUAAAGCGGUGGUGAUCACUCAUCCAACGGAAAUAAAGCAGCGUGAUCCAAAGUAUGACGACGCGUGGUAUUUCAUCGAAGCAAAUCGCACUCUCAACUUGGCUUACCUGAACGUCCGACGAAUGACGCAUAGUGGUGUAUUAGUUCCUACCCAUUCCGUUGAAGGAGCGAGUAGCGCUUCAUUUUCCACAAUCACCAUGGGUCCAAGCAGUAGGAUUUGGAUAGGUGGAGUCCCAGAACAUCUACAAACUCCUGAGCUGCUGGCUAGAGAUGGUCUUGGGGUAGUUUUGAGUCAAUUGUACAUAGACCAACGGCAGCUUGGUUUGUGGCAUUUCAUGUCUUCUACCGGAAACUGCGAAGGGGCCAUGCUAGGGCCUCAAGAAAGCUCCAGCACAACCAGCGAGAGACAUUUCAAUGGAGAAGGCUACGCUGUGCUGCAGAAGUCAUCAAGCCAUAGGAGCAAGAAUCAAUUCAGUUUGACUUUAAGCUUCAAGACAUUGGACGAGAAUGCUUUGAUUUUCCUAGCGCUGGACGAAGUCAAUAACCGUUCAAUUUCACUCACCCUCUACCAAGGCCGGUUGGUAUUCCGUGUAGACUACGGAGGUGACUCAAAACUGGAGAUCAAUACCACUAAUCGUUAUAAUACCGGUCAGUGGGUGGUUGUUGAAGCUGCCCGAUCAUUUUCCAAAGGUAGUACUGAAAAUGGAAUUCUGAAGGUGGACAACAAAGAAGAGUUCCGAGGGGCACCAACGAAACCGAUCAACUCAGGAAUGUUACCCAAUUUGAGCGAAAACUACUAUCUAGGAGGAGUGCCUCCUGGCUUCAAAUCUGGAACAACCAAAGCACCCGGUGCGGAUCAUGCUUUCCUUGGCUGCCUGAAAGGAGUACAAAUAACUGGUGUUUCUUACGAUCCACUGGAUAGCUCGAAACAUUUUGGUAUAGAAGGCUCUUGUAUUGAUACCAUAAGUAGAGCAGGAUUCUACGGAAAUGGUUUUGUAGAGUUUCCCUCUCAUAGCCUAAGGAAACGAGCCAACUUCGGGUUCGUUUUCCGCACGCUGGAACCGAAUUGCUCUCUAUUGUUGUCUGGAUUCCCGUCUAGUUUGUCCAACGAAUACGAUUCGAAAGACAUGCGCGGAAACUAUUCCGUAUUCCUUUACGAAGGAAAGCUAAAUCUAUGGGUAGACUCAGGAGCAGGUCGAGUUGAACUAGAAUCGAACAAUACCUUGAACGAUGGAGAAUAUCACGUUCUCAAAGUGAUAAAGCGAGGCAGAGCAGUAGAACUUCGAGUUGACGACGAGUUUCAGGGAGCUAAGUCAUUGCCUAAGCAGCAAGCCUUGGUCAACAUGCCAGGAGAACUAGGAGGUCUAUUUCUGGGAGGUGUUCCAGAUGAUCCAGCAUUUGAUUCGCUCUCCAAAUCAUUCAACGGCUUGAAGGGCGUCAUUGCCAACGUUGUGUUCAACAAUCGAACGGUAUCGUUCGAUGAGGCUCUCAAUUUCACCAACGUUCAGAUGGGUCGAUCUGGUCCAGAAAUGGGUUCCAACAUUCUGCAUACGACGCUACAGCAGACUCAACCUUUCAGUCGCAGCUUCAAACCUCCACCAGAGGGAUGCAAUAGGAGUGUUGAUAAUACUAACGGUUGUUAGCGAAGUUAGCUCGAACGCAGUCUAGAACUUCAUAACUAGUAAUUUAUUUAGUUUUGCAUGUUGUUUCCAUGUCACAGCAAUUGGUUUCAAUAUCCUCAGUUCAUUGUUACUUUAUUUUCUAUUGCUUACUUUAUUGGUUAUAUUGGUGAAGGUUUUAGUUUAAAAUUGGUUUCUGGCACAUAGUUUUAGUUUUUUCACGAGCAGUUACACACUUCUAACUUCAAUUGGGUGUAUCUUUUAUCUGGUACUAAACUGGCACUAAUUUUCACACAAACACAAAAAAGCUUAGCUCAGUAACACAGGUUGGAAGCUACUCUUAUGAACCGAAUGCUUUCAAGUAUGGUGAUAAACCUCAGAGUCACUCGAUAGUCAACGUUGCAGCUCGUCACCUGUGGCAGCGAAAUUUCAACAUCCAGUUCGAUUUCCGCACCUUCUACCCUAAUGGAGUGUUAUUCGUAGCAUUGGGCUCUAAAGACAAAGCGAAGCACUUCAUAACCCUGGGGCUAAAGGAUGGAUCCUUGGCAUUAACGGUGCGGGGUCGCAAACGGGAUCAGCUGGUGCUGCCGGUGAAGCUCAACGACGGCCAGUGGCAUCACGUAUCACUGAACAGUAUCAAGAAGAAAGCAACUCUGAGCGUGCAAACUGAGAACGGCCUCAGCUCGGCGCAAAUCAAACUACCAAAGAAACUGAAUGCUGCCAACAAUCUUUUUAUUGGAGGCAUUCCAGACGAAACACUACUGCCGAAAGAGCUGCAACCGAAGCCGGAGGAGUUCAAGGGAUGUUUGAAGAAGUUUUCGGUGAACAACAAUACUCAAGAUCUGGCACGGCCAGGGCGGCACAUGAAUGUUGGACAGUGCUUCCCGCGAAUCGAGCAAGGUUCAUAUUUCCCGGGUGACGCUUAUGCCAUAUACAAGCGUAACUUCAACGUUGGAAAGUUUAUGGAUGUUGAUCUCGAACUCCGAACGUCGGAAGUGAACGGAAUUUUGAUGAGUGUUGCCGAACCCAUCAAUGGGUUCCCUGCCUUCUCGCUGGAGAUUUCCAAUGGAAAUGUUAUUCUUUCCAUCGACGUUGGUGAUGGGUAUCCCAUCCGAGUUCAGAGCACACUGCCUUCCAAGUACACUUUGUGUGACAACCGGUGGCACAACGUAUCCGCACUGUACGAAGAUCAUCAGAUAGUGCUUCGGGUGGACGACUAUCCGCCCAACACUCUACUGGUACAAUCCAACGAUGUCCUACGAAGGGUGGCCACCAAGGCCCCCCUCUACAUUGGAGGGCUUCCUGAUACCGCACCGAGCGGGACACUUCUUCUGCGCGAGAACUUCAAGGGCUGCAUACGAAAUGUUGUGAUUCGAAACGAACGAAAAGAUUGGACCGAUAUGGACAACCUCCACAAUGUGUUGCUGAGCGAGUGUCUGGCAGUUAAUUGAAUAGUGGCACAACUGCCUCUGUAAAUAGUAGAACAUUCAUCAAGCCAUUACGCUUAACAAGAGUUGUAGCAGCAUUACGAGUGUAGCGAAAAAUUGCCUCAUGCUUUUUUGAGGAACUCUGACAUACCAAAAACAUAAUACUUAUUCUGUAAAAAAAAGUAACGAAAUGCUCCGAGAGGCUUCUUUCCUAUGCAAGUGUAGUAUUGAGUAACCAAGAGAACUCUAACUGAUGUGCCUUCUUGGACGCUUCUUCCUCUGUAUGAUAGAAACGAAUGCGUACAAACCACCGAUCCUAAGCCUAUGAUUAUUGUUUUAAUAGUUGACGAAAAUGCUACAAAUCAUGUGUUCUAAUUGUGAAAGCCUUGUAAAAUACAUUCAAGUCAUAACUCUGUUGAAAUAAAUAUAAGUAUUUAUUUAGAAGAACAAAAAUGCGCACAACUGCCAAUAAACGUUCUCAGUGUCGUUCCUGUUUUGAGAAUAAUCUGACAAAUGGAUAAGAUCUAAUCGUAAGAUAAUGUUGCUGCCAUAAAAACAGAUAGGAUAACUCUAUUUAACGUCAUAUUUAACAUAUUGAUAACUUGUUCAGUGGAUUCCAAUAUUGAAGGUGUAAAUUGUUAUUCAUUCAUCUCAAUCCAAGCAUUUUUCAUGAUAAACAUAUUUAAGUCCACAAAAGAAAAUGUAGUUCAAUGUUUCUGUGAAAUGGAUCGAAGAAAAUACACUAAUAUUCUACUUCUAAUUUUAAA